UUAGACAAGUGUUUAAGUGGUAUGCCAUCUGCAAAUACUUGUGCUUAGUCACUCAGUCGUGUCUGACUCUUUGUGACCCCAUGGACUGUAGCCCAUCAGGCUCCUUUGUCCAUGGGGAUUCUCCAAGCAAGAAUACUGGAGUGGGUUGCCAUGCCCACCUUCAGGGGAUCUUCCCAACCCAGGGAUGGAACCCAGGUCUCCUGCAUUGCAGGCAGAUUCUUUACUGUCUAAGCCACCAGGGAGGACCAUUUGCAAAUGCUAUCUGGGGGCCAAUUUUUUUCUUGUUGGAUCUGAGGUGGAUCAUAAGGGUUUGCCUCCAAAUCCCCAUUGUACAUAAAAGCAUGCCCAGAUCUGAGAGAUUUAUAACUUACCUAAAUGCAUCAUCAUUGUCAUCAUCAUCAUCUUCAUUUCUUCUUCAUUUUUCCCCUCUAGAUUUAAUCUAGUAGGCCACACUGACCGGGUUAAGAAUUUUCAAAAAUAUAAAAGAUCUAAAAGUUACUCUACUUGGCAAAACAAAGGCAGAAACUCCAUCAAUGCCCACCACUCAGAGCAGCCUGAAUGAGUAAGAGGCUCAACUCCAUCUGUGGCCACCAGCUCCUUGGAGACUGGGAGAAGAGAAUGGAAGCAGCAGAAAGGCAAAGGGUCAAGACAGAAGGAAUACGGGCUUACAGAUCCAUCUUGUCCAGAACCUCUCUAGAACCCAUAAUGCCCUACCUUAUUUUCUAUGAAUUAAAUGUCAUCUCUGAGCUCAGGUUAAAAGGGAAACCUUAUGGCCUGUUCUGUAAAGAGGCUAAGCAUAGAGGAUGAAGCCAGGCAGUACUAAUUUUGAUUCUAGGCUGACCAAUGAUCCCAGGGAGCCUGUGACUGUCUUGGUUUAAGCAUCAUAUCUUAUAGAUGGUUAGCCAUCCCCAUUCAGCUCUGCUACUUGGCAACCAUGAGACUGUGGACAAAUCACCUAUCUUGUUAGUCCCCCAUGUUUCCUCAUCUAGGAGAUGGAGAUAACAGGAGUACCCAUCUCUAUGUUUUGGACACUGAAUGAGAUAACCCUCACUGAAGGCUUCAGAGAUGUGAGAGGUAGGGCAGGGCCCUGGCAGAAGGCAGAAGAAGCACAGGCUGGAGCCAUGGGCACCUUGGCCAACUUCUGUUCAAUGUUUCUCAGGAUGUCAGAACUUCAGCCCUUCCUUUGAUUCUCCGUGUUUGCUGAUGGGAUGAGACUGACUGCAUUUGUGUCUCUGAAUGUUCACAUUAUCUCGCUUUUACAGGUGGAGGAAUGCUACUUUCUCCAAAGUGUUGAUCACCUACAGGAAGGUUCUUGGAUGAGAUCCCAGAGGAGGUGAUGUGAGCUCCCUCCCCAAGUCCGAGCCUUAUGAUGUUCACCCAUCCCCGGUGUUAAAUACUUUCAUACUUGUUGGAAGCCAAAGGAGUAGAGUUUUGUUUUGUCUUUUUUAGAAAGAAAAAGAGUGCAUCCAAUUAAGAGAUUAAGACACAGGAGUGAAAGCAAGUUGUCUAGUAGGGAGACUGCAAGUUACAGUAGGAAGGGCACAGGUUUGUUUCUGUUUACUUUCUUUUGUAUCAGGACUGCAGGGCUGGAAUUAUGCUGCACCCGGUGUGAGCUGUGAGACUUUGAACAACUAAACUCUUAGAGUUUUUGUUUCCUCAUUUGUAAAGUAGAAAAAUGACUAUUACAUCGUUAGAGUUAUUAGGAGGAUAAAUAAGUUUGAUACAAAUAAAGCACUGAGCACAGGACCUUUCUCAGCAAGUGUUUUUUCCUCCGUUCUUAUUUUUAAGAAAAGUGACAUACAAUACUGAAAAUUCUCAGAUAAUUGUGGUAGAACACGGAGUGGGAACUAUAGGAUUUGAACCUGUCUCUUCUAUGUAAGCAGGUAUGUCGUGAAGCAUACAGACAAUUUUCUGAAAUAUAUGUUAAAAUUGAAUUGAGGAGAAAGAUAACAUUCAUAUGCAUUCAAUUUCAUUUAUGAAGGGAUCCUUGAAAAGAAGAUGGUGCAGACUAUAGGUAGGAAACAGUCUGAAUUUCCCCAAAGCACGUGUUCCUGUGUCCUAGGGUUCCUGGAAGCAGCGACAAAACUGAGUUUUCAUAUUAAAGAACUUCGGAAAAUACCCUCUCAAAACUCCCUCUUUAGUGGAAUGUGUGCUAUCUGCAAUACAACCUCAAGAAUCUACAUGGGCAUAACAGGCAGAGAGUUCUUUUUUUUUAGGUCAAGUGUUUUGUUUUGUUUUUAACUGAAGCAUGGUUCAUUUCCAAUGUUGCGUUAGUUUGAAGUGUAUAGCAAAGUGAUUCAGUUAUACAUAUACAUGUAUAUAGAUAUAUAGGCCUUCUCUGGUGGCUCAGUGGUAAAGAAUCCACCAGUCAAUAUAGGAAACACAGGUUUGAUCCCUCAGUUGGGAAGAUUCCCUGGGUAAGGAAAUGGCAACCCAUUUCAGUAUUCUUGCCUGGGAAAUCCCAUGGGUAGAAGAGCUGUGUGGGCUACAGUCCAUGGGGUCUCAAAGAGUCGGACACAGCUUAGCAACUAAACAACAACAUAAAGGUAUAGUCUGUUACAUAUUCUUUUCCACUAUAGUUUAUUACAAGAUAUUGUGCAUAGUUCCCUAUGACACACAGUAAGUCCUUGUUGUUUACCUAUUUAUUUGUAGUAGCAUGUAUCUAUUUAUCUCAAACUCCUUAUUUAUCCCUCCUCCUAUCCCCAUAAAUUUGUCUUCUAUGUCUGUGAGUCUAUUUUGUAAAUAAGUUCAUUUGUAUCAUUUUUUUUGAUUCUACGUAUUAGUUAUAUCAUAUGAUACUUGUCUUUCUCUGUCUGACUUACUUCACUUAGUAUAAUAACAUCAAAGUCCAUCCAUGGGGCUGCAAAUGUCAUUAUUUCAUUCUUUAUAUGGCUGAGUAAUAAUAUUCCAUUGUAUGUAUAUACCACAUCUUCUUUAUCCAUUCAUUUGUCAGUGGACAUAUAGUUUUUUCCCUUGCCUUGACUAUUUACAAGAGAGAGUUCAAAGCAUGAAGACUGCACGUUUGGAGAACCAUUUCUGGAUCAUAACCCACUGUUACAGCACUCUAAACCACUGGGUUGAGAAGAAACAUACCUGUUGGAGGUUUUGCAGGUGGUUGUUGGAUGCUUUCUCUCUCUCCUUGAGUUUUGUGCCAGUUUGGAAACCAGAAAACCCUGAAAUAUGCGUGCUGACCUGAAAGCUAUAAACACAUCCUCCCAAAGGUUGGCAGAAGAUGCAAAAAUCCUGGGGAAAGGGUUUACUGAAACUUAAGGAGCUUACAAGCACAUCAUUUAUAGAUCAAAGACUCAUUUUUUGGUCUAGGUUAUAUGUGAAUUUAUGAUUCCUAUGCAUUUACAUGGAAUCAGGAGGCAAGGAAACAUUACGUGGCAACCUUAGGGAUAUAAAAAUUGCCUGAUGUCAAGGCUCCUAUGGGGAGUGGUAAAGACUCUGCUUGUCAGAAGCAACUUUCCUCUUUGUAACUCUACCACAAAGCCAAUUGUCCACCCAAAUUUUUGAAAAUUGGUGCUCAUCUAUUUUCUGAGGUGGAAUACAUAAUGGGGUGGGGUAGAAAUUAGUGGAGAAACAAUGGAAUGAAAAGAGGUGAGGAGGUAGAGGAGACGGGAGGACAGAAAUGAGUCUGAAAAGAAAAGUGGAAAAAUAUAGGUUUCAGGUUGAUGGUUUCGGAAUUUCAAGUGUUCACACUCACCAUUGUUUUUUAGCUUUCACUGGCAUCCUAGGGAAAUAUGUAAAUAGUUCUGAAAUAACUUUCACAGGGAGCAAGUGUCAAAUCCUUCAGAUCUAUGUUCAUAAAGGAUGACUGAUAUGGAUGGUAAAGACCACACCAAACCUGGAAAGGCUGAAUUUGUCUGGUAUCUGCCAGAUUUAUAAGCUUUCAAUAUGUCCUUCAGGUGUUAUCCAUGUAACUGUGUAUGCCUUCAUUCCCUAUGCUCGGGGCAAGGAUAUGAAACUUCCAAUUAAUUUUAAGAAUGAGAUACAUGGGGAUGAUCCAG
ensembl:lncRNA